AAGUCGUAACAAGGUUUCCGUAGGUGAACCUGCGGAAGGAUCAUUACAGUUUUUGCGUGUGCUUAAGUGCACCGCAAGUCUACACAGUGCGUACUGAACGAAUGUCUCCGGAAGCGAUUCCGGGAGUUUAACACAACCAACAGUUUUAUGAAUGUCAUGAAUUAUACAAAUAUUCAAAACUUUCAACAACGGAUCUCUUGGUUCUC
rnacentral:misc_RNA from 1 species